rnacentral:rRNA from 1 species
AACGAACGCUGGCGGCAUGCCUAACACAUGCGAGUCGAACGAGACCUUCGGGUCUAGUGGCGCACGGGUGCGUAACGCGUGGGAACCUGCCCUUAGGUUCGGCAUAACUCCCCGACAGGGGUGCUAAUACCGGAUAAUGUCUUCGGACCAAAGAUUUAUCGCCUUUGGUUGGGCCCGCGUUGGAUUAGCUAGUUGGUAGGGUAAAAGCCUACCAAGGCGACGAUCCAUAGCUGGUCUGAGAGGAUGAUCAGCCACACUGGGACUGGGACACGGCCCAGACUCCUACGGGAGGCAGGAGUGGGGAAUAGUGGACAAUGGGCGAAAGCCUGAUCCAGCAAUGCCGGGUGAGUGAUGAAGGCCUUAGGGUUGUAAAGCGCUUUUACCCGGGAUGAUAAUGACAGUACCGGGAGAAUAAGCCCCGGCUAACUCCGUG